UACGUAGGGUGCGAGCGUUGUCCGGAAUUACUGGGCGUAAAGAGCUCGUAGGUGGUUUGUCGCGUUGUUCGUGAAAACUCACAGCUCAACUGUGGGCGUGCGGGCGAUACGGGCAGACUGGAGUACUGCAGGGGAGACUGGAAUUCCUGGUGUAGCGGUGGAAUGCGCAGAUAUCAGGAGGAACACCGAUGGCGAAGGCAGUGUUCUGGGCCAGUACUGACGCUGAGGAGCGAAAGCGUGGGGAGCAAACAGG
rnacentral:rRNA from 1 species